rnacentral:rRNA from 1 species
GCCUACGGGGGGCAGCAGUGAGGAAUAUUGGUCAAUGGGCGGGAGCCUGAACCAGCCAAGUCGCGUGAGGGAAGACGGUCCUAUGGAUUGUAAACCUCUUUAGGCGGGGAGCAAUGCCGGGCACGCGUGCCCGGAGGGAGAGUACCCGCAGAAUAAGCAUCGGCUAACUCCGUGCCAGCAGCCGCGGUAAUACGGAGGAUGCGAGCGUUAUCCGGAUUUAUUGGGUUUAAAGGGUGCGUAGGCGGAUUUUUAAGUCAGCGGUAAAAUGGCCGGGCUCAACUCGGGCCGGCCGUUGAAACUGGGGA